rnacentral:rRNA from 1 species
UACGUAGGGUGCAAGCGUUGUCCGGAAUUAUUGGGCGUAAAGAGCUUGUAGGCGGUUUGUCGCGUCUGCUGUGAAAUUUCGGGGCUCAACCCCGAACUUGCAGUGGGUACGGGCAGACUAGAGUGUGGUAGGGGAGACUGGAAUUCCUGGUGUAGCGGUGAAAUGCGUAGAUAUCGGGAGGAACACCCGUGGCGAAGGCGGCUCUCUGGCCUGUAACUGACGCUGAGGCGCGAAAGCGUGGGGAGCAAACAGG